rnacentral:rRNA from 1 species
AACGAACGCUGGCGGCAUGCCUAACACAUGCAAGUCGAACGAGAUCUUCGGGUCUAGUGGCGCACGGGUGCGUAACGCGUGGGAAUCUGCCCUUUGGCUCGGAAUAACAGUUGGAAACGACUGCUAAUACCGGAUGAUGACGAAAGUCCAAAGAUUUAUCGCCAGAGGAUGAGCCCGCGUAGGAUUAGCUAGUUGGUGUGGUAAAGGCGCACCAAGGCGACGAUCCUUAGCUGGUCUGAGAGGAUGAUCAGCCACACUGGGACUGAGACACGGCCCAGACGCCUACGGGAGGCAGCAGUGGGGAAUAUUGGACAAUGGGCGAAAGCCUGAUCCAGCAAUGCCGCGUGGGUGAUGAAGGCCUUAGGGUUGUAAAGCUCUUUUACCCGGGAUGAUAAUGACAGUACCGGGAGAAUAAGCUCCGGCUAACUCCGUGCCAGCCGCCGCCGUAA